UGUCCGGUCGAGCCGCUGCACUCCCCCGCUGCGCGCUCAGACUGGUUCGGCGCUCCGAGGUCUGCAGGCUGCCGAAGCUUUCUCUCAGCCUGAACACAGCCUCAUCUCCCCGCAGAGAAAAAAACCCGGACUGACGGCCGUCCUCCCCGCUCUCCAGGAACACCACAUAGGAGACCUUAAACAGCUUUUCCCCCGACGCAGCGCUCCCCCUCAUAAAGCCGCCUCGGUCUGCUUGUGUGAAUUAAGAGCUGCGGUAGAGAGAGAGAGAGAGAGACAGCCUCCCCUCUUCAUCUGCUACACACCAGGUGCACAAACACAACCAGCCAGCAAACACACAAACUGACCAGGCUGAAAACACAACCUCCACGAAUGAAAACGAUGACAAGCUGGUGAAAACCUGGAUCAGAAUGAAGUUAAAAUCAACUACAGACCACCUUGCGAUGGGAUCACACUGCCUGCAAUGCUCACCAGACAUAUACAGACCAGGACAACCAGU
rnacentral:lncRNA from 1 species